rnacentral:lncRNA from 1 species
AAGCUUGCAGAUGAGUCAAGGGAGACGUGGCAUAACCUCUGGUCAUGAUCUGGAGGUGAACACCUGGCCAAACCACGGACUGAGGCGUGUCCACAACGAGCCGACCUCCUCAGCUUCGGCUGCCGAAACUGCAUGCAAAACCAUGCAACUUUCGGGGGCCGAACAUAACCUUCGGGGGCCGAACAUUGGGCACUUUCGGCGGCCGAACUUCACAUUCGGGGGCCGAACCUG